rnacentral:tRNA from 2 species
GCGGAAUUGGUGAAGUGGUUAACACGGUGGAUUGUGGUUCCAUUAUUCGUGGGUUCGAUUCCCACAUUCCGUCCCA